UGAUUAAAACACUAGAGCUUUCAAUUGCUUCUUGAUUGUUCUUAAACUUUAACAUGCAUAAGAAUCAUCUAAACAGAUUAAAAACUCCUCUGCUCCAGCCUGUGGAUGGAUUCACUGAGUUUGGUGGGGAGAUCUUAGAAUGUAAUUUAUUUUGUAAUUAAUAGACUUUUAGAGCACUUUUUGGUUUUUUUUAAACAAAUUUAUUAAAGUAUAAAUGACAUACAAUAAACCGCACAUAAAGUGUACAAUUUAAUAAGAUUUGACAUACAGAUACAUUCAAGUAACUACAGCACAGUUAAGAUAAUGAACACAUCCUCCACUCACUGAAAUUUCAUUGAUCCCUUUUGUAAUCCUUUCCUUUUGACUUUUUGGUUUUCAAAAGAAAAAAUGAGCAUACAGAGUUCCCAUGUACCCUCUCUCCAGUAACCCCUCCUCGAGUUUUCCCUGUUGUUAACAUCUGGUAUUAGUGUGGUACAUUUUUACAAUUGAGCCAAUGAUACAUUAUUUUUAACUAAAGUCCAUAGUUUAGAUAGAAGGCCUAAUCUUAGAGGAAGAGGUGGCCUUAGAGGAAGAGGAAAAAAAAAGAAAUCACUCAGAAGAAAGGCCAUGUGAGGACACAGCAGCCGUCUGCAAGCCAGGAAGAGAGCCCUCAGUGUAAAUAGAACUCUACUGACACCUUGACCUUGGACUUCCAGCCUGCAGAACUGUGGGAAGGUAAACUUCUGUUGUUUAAACCGCACAGCCUGUAGUAUUUUGUUGUGGUAGCCCGAGCGGACUAAUACAUACCCUAAGAUCAUACUUUGAGAUAUCACUACUCUACACUAGAGGCAAGAAAGUGUGGUCUGAAAUCCACCAAUAUCUACAUCACCUGUGAGUUUGUCAGGCAUUCAGAAUCUGGGGCCCUGCCUCAGACCUCCUUAAUCACUAUCAUCAUUUUAACAACAUCCUCAGGUGGUUCCAGGUAAGCACAUUAAAAUGUGAGAAGGCUGGGAGUGGUAGCUCAUGCCUGUAAUCCCAGCACUUUGGGAGGCUGAGGCAGGAGGGCUGAUUGAGCUCAGGAGUUUGAGACCGGUCUGGUCAACAUAGUAAACCCCAUCUCUACAAAUAAUUCAAAAAAAUUGGCCAGGCAUAGUGGCUCACACCUGUGGGUAGUGGCACCCAGCUACUCAAGAGGCUGAGAGAGGAGGAUCGCCUGAGCCCAGGAGGUCGAGGCUGCAGUGAGCUACGAUGGCACCACUGCCCUCCAGCCUGGGUAACAGAGUGAAAAACCCUGCCUUAAAAAAAAAAAAAAAGAAAAAAGAAAAAAAAAAUGAGAAGUCCUGCUCGACAGCACACUGGGCACAGCUUUGUGUUUGUUUACUUAUAUACCUUAGGCUCCCUUGGAGCCAUGCAGAGCUCACUGAGCAGAGGAAGAAGCUAGUGUUACAAUCAGCUCACUGCACUUUACCCUAAUGAGACAAUCCAGCUUCAUUUUUAUGUCAGCCCUACUCACAUGAAUAGAAUCACUUAUUAUCUCAUUAGGUUUCAAGCAGCAAAUAUCCCUAACCUUGAUCAUCGGACUACACUUGCAAAUUUAUUUCUGAUUCUUAAUCUCUUGUAUUAUAAUAAUCAGGUAAAAUAAUCUUCUUUGAGAUCCUAACAUUAAAGGAAAUAUUAAUAUGCCAUAAUGAAACAAAAAUGAGGUAAACAUUUUAGAGCUGCCAAGUUAAUUCCAACCUUCCUGUGGGAUUUUUAUAUUCAGUUCCUUAACUGAUCUUUACAACUCUGAAAAGUUGACAGCUCAAAUUUUAUAACCCCCGUUUUGCAGAAGAAGAAACUGAAGCCCAUGGAGAGUAAGAGACUUAUUUUCACAAGGCACGUGGGAUGCACCCAGGUCACAAACCUUCAUCGUCUGACAUCUUUCAGCACUUGCUUCUAUAAGGUUUGCCAAGUUUAUAAAAGCUGGAAUACUGCCAAAUGAAGUGAACUAUUAAUAUCGCCGUGAGGCACAGAGAGGUUAAAGAACUUAAAGCUUAAGUUAAAGCUUAUUGAGCUACAAAGUGACAAAGCCAAGAUUCAAACAAGGCAGUCUUGCUUCAUCACCAAGAAGCUACCCACUAUACUAUAUUGCAAAUGCCACAAAGGGCUGAUUCCUGUGCUGUGGGAACACAUAAGAAAAGCCUUCAAUUCAAUCUUGGGUAUUAGGGAAGCUUUCAUAGAUGAACCUAAUGGCAAUUCCAAAUCCUAAUGGACAAGCAUGUAUCAACCACUUGAGAAGGAAGAAAGAAGAGGAACAUUGUCUUAAAACAGACCACAUAUGCAAAGUAACAGAGAUUGAGAAAGUUUAUGGUGCAGAGAGCUGCAAGUAGUUCCCUGGGCUGGAGAGCAAGUUCUGUGGCAGGAGAGGUGAGCAGUGGCCAGACUGUGGCAGUCUUAAAACCAAGCUUUGGACUUAAGUUUUAAUCAGAGACAUCAGCAGACCACUGAAAAAUUUCAGUCCAAGGAAUAAUAGCUUUAGAUUGUGGCUUUAGAUUCACCACUCUGGCAUUCAUGAAAAGAAUGGAAUCAGGCAACAUGGCAAACAGGUGGAGUAAUUUCCAAGGGUCAUCCAGUGACUAAACAAUAAAGUCUGAUGGCCUGAACUAAGGUAGAGGCAAUGGAGAUUUUUAAAAAGACACACUAGAAAGAUAAUUAGAAGGCAAGACUUGAUGACUGGUAAAUGUGAUGAAGGAGUCAGAAUGAUGAUGCCCGAGUUCUGGCUGAGAUGCUGCUUGGAUGAUGGUACCUUUCCUGAACCAUGGAGGUCACAAAGGCAUUUCAGAGAAGGAGAUGACAUCUUCUCAUUUGCAUAUGAAAAUGAAUUAUUCAGUUAUGAGAUGGGAAUUACCCUGGAGUUCCAGAGAGAGACUGGGUUGAAGAAAUAGAUCCGAAUGUCAUCAGUUGAUAUGGUUUGAAUUUGUGUCCUCACCCAAAUCUCAGGUAAAAUUGGAGGAGGGGCCCGGUGGGAGGUGAUUGGAUCAUGGGGCCAGAAUCCCCCUUGCUAUUCUCAUGAUAGUGAGUGAGUUCUCACAAGAUCUGAUGGUUUAAAAGUGUAUCGCACUUCCUGUUUCACUCUCUCUCUCUCCUGCCAGCAUGUGAAGAAGGCGCUUGUUUCCCCUUUACCUUUCCGCCACGAUUGUAAGUUUCCUAAGGCUUCCCAGCCAUGCUUCCUAUACAGCCUGUGGAAUUGUGAGUCAAUUAAACCUCUUUUCUUCAUAUAUUAGCCAAUCUCAGGUAGUCCUUUAUAGCAGUGUGAGAACAGACUAAUACACCAGUAUACAGAAAAAAGUGGCCAUGGAAAGUGUAUGUCCAUAAUACAUUGCAUUUAAUAGGCAUUUUUCUGUACCUUGAACAAUUUCAAAACACUUUACACUAUUUAACUAGUUUAAUUUUCACAACAAGUCUAUGAGGUAAUACUGUUAUUAUACUCAUUUUACAGAUGAGAAAAUUAAGGCACACAGUUAUUAAGGCAAACAGUGGUAGAGCCAGCAUUCAAACCUGGGUAAUCUGGCUGUAGACCUUAUGCUGCUAAUCAUGAAGUUAUACCGCUCCUCUGUACAGAAUGAGGAAGGAUUCUACUGCAGAAUACUGCACAAUACAAAUACUAACCUUGGCUUACCAUGGUGAACGAGGUACAAAAAUCCAGCCUUCAAAAAAUGUCAGUUGGUAAGAAAUGUAGGGCUGUAUCAUUGUGAGGUGGCUAGGAAAAAAUACACACUCAUUCAUUAUGCGCAAUCACAAAAAAACACAAAAUCGUGAAAAUUACAUUACAUUAACAGAUAACACACUAAACUGAAAAAGUCCCAAAUAACCCCAAGGCAGAGGGCAGAAUCCCUUUUUAAUUCCAUCCCACUAAACCUAUUGCUCCUCCAUAGAAAAUAGUUAUGUUAGUCUGUCCCACUGAAGAACUGGGACGGGGCACAGGAUUGGAGCCAAUUUUUAAAUGAAUUUUAUCAGAAUUCUGGCUAUCCCUGUGCCAUGAAAUCAAGCAAAAAGAAUUUUCCAAGGAGGCAGAGGCUUAGUUACAAGAGGUAACAAGAUGUCAAGGACACCAAAACCUGAAAUAACUUAUUGAUAGUAUUUAGAAAUAAGGAGAUCAGGCCGGGCACAGUGGCUCACGCCUGUAAUCCCAGCACUUUGGGAGGCCGAGGCGGUCGGAUCACGAGGUCAGGAGAUUGAGACCAUCCUGGCUAACACGGUGAAACCCCAUCUCUACUAAAAAUACAAAAAAUAAGCCAGGUGCAGUGGCGGGUGCCUGUAGUCCCAGCUACUCGGGAGGCUGAGGCA
rnacentral:lncRNA from 1 species